UCGUUCUACUAACAACUGCGCGAAAGAAGCUGAAAUUGACGCGUAAAAGAGUCUGCACCAAGUAUAACCGCCAGCCGCAUGUCCGCCCACGAGUGUUGGGACAAAGGUAGAUCCAAGUGGAAGAAAACAGACUCCGAGAAGAAGCAGGGCAUCCAUGCAACAGGAGGGGGCGCUGGUGUCGCACCUGCUGAACGAUGAGCCCGUCUCUCCAGCUUGUGGGGGCACUGAUGUCCGACAUGGCAAUGCGGCUGCCAAGCCCGUAGAACAGUGGCAGCACCCGCGCUGGUUAGCAGGUGCUCUCAAUGCUGCCAGCCGCCAUUCCCGAAGCCACAGUGAACGAGCGUGACGACUGACAUGAUGCCUGAUUCGCCUGCCUCACUCCUGCUGGACUGGGGUGACAUCACGGAGUUUGCGGUUGCUGCGUCACCAACUAAGUCCCCGACUCCUCUACCUCCUCAGCCGCCACGUGUGGUUGUCCGAGUGAACCGACUGGAGGAGCUGCACCUGCUGCAGCUGGAGCUACGUCAGAGUCAGGUUGCCUAUUAGCAGACGCAGGCCCAGGUUUUCCAUCAGCAGCAGCGUAACGAGCUGGUUCGAACUUGAGCUGCUCCAGCUCAACAAACUAAUCAAGCUGCAACAACUGCUUGUUCUCGGGGCCCAGCCACAACAGUAGGCUGAUUUAUUCGAUUUGUUUCAUCUUUCUCUUUAGUAAUUACCAUUCUUUUUUGUGUUUAACAAUGCUUUUUUAAUGUCUAUAACUUGCUUCAUUUUAUCCCUGACCUGAAGUUGUUACAAGUGUUGACCGUAUCUCAUUCAGUAAAGCCCAGCAUUUUUUAAACUUGUUUCUCUAUUGGCUAUCUGUAGUGAACAUGCAAAAGGGCAGCUACGUCAGCUUUAAAUCUAUUCUUUUAAAACUUAAAAAGUAACCGAGUAUUUUUCUUUCUUACUAAUUACAUUGUUUGUAUGUUUAGACAACAGGAAGUUAGUCAGCCCCAGUGAGUAACUUGUCUCCACUGUAGACGAGAUAUUGAGCCAGUGCCGUACCACAGCUAUCGUUGAGUUUUUAACUUACAUCACAGUAGUGAUACACAACCGCAUGGUGUUACAAUGAUCAUCCACAUCGAUACAGGCAGAGGCAGAAAUAUAACUCAAGAUUCCCAUGUUCAGCUGUGCGAGCUUUCACUCCACGUGCUCCAAGGUGUGAUGCGUUAAUGCAAUCGACCACCGAUCCACUUGAAGGAAAUAUAGGAAUCUGUUUGAAUGUACAGCCAGGUGUUUCCUAAACAUUGCCACUGUUAUUUAUAUAAUGUCUCUUUUAUUAUUGUGUUGUCCAUGUGCA